rnacentral:rRNA from 1 species
AACGAACGCUGGCGGCAUGCCUAACACAUGCAAGUCGAACGUGAUCCGGUUCCUUCGGGGGCGGUGAAAGUGGCAGACGGGUGAGUAACGCGUGGGAACCUGCCCAAUGGUAGGGAAUAACCGCGGGAAACUGCGGCUAAUACCCUAUGAGCCCUUUGGGGCAAAGAUUUAUCGCCAUUGGAGGGGCCCGCGUCGGAUUAGGUAGUUGGUAGGGUAACGGCCUACCAAGCCGUCGAUCCGUAGCUGGUCUGAGAGGAUGAUCAGCCACACUGGGACUGAGAUACGGCCCAGACUCCUACGGGAGGCAGCAGUGGGAAUAUUGGACAAUGGGGGCAACCCUGAUCCAGCCAUGCCGCGUGCGGGAAGAAGGCC